AACGAACGCUGGCGGCAGGCUUAACACAUGCAAGUCGAGGGGCAGCACGGGUAGCAAUACCUGGUGGCGACCGGCGCAAGGGUGCGUAACGCGUGAGCAACAUGCCCUAUACAGGGGGAUAAUCCAGGGAAACUUGGUCUAAUAUCCCAUAGUAUUUAGAGGAGGCAUCUUCUAUAAAUUAAAGCUUCGGUGGUAUAGGAUUGGCUCGCGUGACAUUAGCUAGAUGGUGAGGUAACGGCUCACCAUGGCAAUGAUGUCUAGGGGUUCUGAGAGGAAGGCCCCCCACACUGGGACUGAGACACGGCCCAGACUCCUACGGGAGGCAGCAGUGAGGAAUAUUGGACAAUGGAUGGAAAUCUGAUCCAGCCAUGCCGCGUGCAGGAAGACAGCCCUAUGGGUUGUAAACUGCUUUUAUAUGGGAGCAAUAAGGUCUACGUGUAGACUGAUGAGAGUACCAUAUGAAUAAGC
rnacentral:rRNA from 1 species